rnacentral:rRNA from 1 species
GAUGAACGCUGGCGGCGUGCUUAACACAUGCAAGUCGAGCGGCAACGCGCUGCUUUUGUGCGGUGCUCGAGUGCGGCGCGGGGGAGAGUCACGUGAGUGACCUUCCCUUGACUUUGGGAAAACUUCCGGGAACGGGGACUAAUACCCGAAAGGAGUUCCUGCUGCAUAGUGUUGAUUGGCUAGUGUCGGCGGUUGGGGUUGGUCUCGGGGCUUAUCAGCUUGUUGCUGGGGUAGUGGCUUACCAAGGCUUUGACGGGUAGCCGGCCUGAGAGGGGGACCGGCCACACUGGGACUGAGAUACGGCCCAGACCCCUACGGGAGGCAGCGGUGGGGAAUAGUACACAAUGGGCGGAAGCCAGACGCAACAACGCCGCGUGCGGGAAGACGUGCUUCGGGUUGUAAACCGCUCUCGCCUGUGACGAAGCGAGAGUGACGGUAAUGGGUAAAGAAGCACCGGCUAACUACGUG